rnacentral:piRNA from 1 species
UUGCCUUUUAUGACAUGUUUUUCUAGAUGC